CGAAGGGGGCGAGCGUUAUUCGGAAUCACUGGGCGUAAAGCGUGCGUAGGUUGUUUUGUAAGUUGGGAGUGAAAGCCCAGGGCUUAACCUUGGAAUUGCUCUCAGAACUACAAGACUUGAAUCUCGGAGAGGAUAGCGGAAUUGUCAGUGUAGCAGUGAAAUGCGUAGAUAUUGACAGGAACACCGGUGGCGUAAGCGGCUAUCUGGACGAGUAUUGACACUGAGGCACGAAAGCGUGGGGAUCAAACAGGAUUAGAUACCCUGGUAGUCCACGCCGUAAACGAUGUGUGCUUGUCGCUGGGAGGUUUACCUUUCGGUGACGCAGCUAACGCGUUAAGCACACCGCCUGGGAAGUACGGCCGCAAGGCUA
rnacentral:rRNA from 1 species